UACGUAGGGGGCAAGCGUUGUCCGGAAUCAUUGGGCGUAAAGAGCGCGUAGGCGGUCCGGUAAGUCCGCUCUGAAAGUCCGGGGCUCAACCCCGGGAGGCGGGCGGAUACUGUCGGGCUAGAGUCCGGAAGAGGCGAGUGGAAUUCCUGGUGUAGCGGUGAAAUGCGCAGAUAUCAGGAGGAACACCAAUGGCGAAGGCAGCUCGCUGGGACGGUACUGACGCUGAGGCGCGAAAGCGUGGGGAGCAAACAGG
rnacentral:rRNA from 1 species